rnacentral:rRNA from 1 species
AUAUCAAUAAGCGGAGGAAAAGAAACCAACAGGGAUUGCCUCAGUAACGGCGAGCGAAGCGGCAAAAGCUCAAAUUUGAAAGCUAGCGUCUUUUAGGCGUUCGCGUUGUAAUUUGAAGAUGGCAACUUUGGAGACGGUCUCUGCAUAUGUUCCUUGGAACAGGACAUCAUAGAGGGUGAGAAUCCCGUACAUGGUGGGGAUACCGUUUCUUUGUAAAGUGCUAUCCAAGAGUCGAGUUGUUUGGGAAUGCAGCUCUAAGUGGGUGGUAAAUUCCAUCUAAGGCUAAAUAUAGGUGAGAGACCGAUAGUGAACAAGUACAGUGAUGGAAAGAUGAAAAGAACUUUGAAAAGAGAGUGAAAAAGUACGUGAAAUUGUUGAAAGGGAAGGGCUUGAGAUCAGACUUGGAUUAUAACGAUCAACUGUCUUUCGGGACUGUGCACUCGUUAUUUUCUAGGCCAGCAUCAGUUUUGGCAGUGAGAUAAUGACACUGGGAUGUGAUUCUGCUUCGGUAGUUUGUUAUAACCAGCUGUUGAUGUCACUAGCCGGGACUGAGGACCGCGCAUUUUGCUAGGAUGCUGGCGUAAU